GUGAGAUGGAGCUGAAUAAUUCCAGCGCUGCUUCCACUUAAACCAGCCGGCAGGAGGAGCCCCAGGUCAGCAGGACCUGCCUGCAGGACGUCCAUUGAGCAGAGUCACAGCAGGAAGUGUGGGGUCAAGAUGGACUUCUGUCUCCAGGCGGGAGCUUCCCUGUGAUCCGAAGUGUCAGUCUGCAGGUGGGCAGGAGGCUGUCCCCACCCUGGGACACCAGCAGCUGGCACCAAGGGUCUCUGCGGGUCAGGCCAUUCUGACUACACAGCAGUCCCACUGACCACAUCAGUUCCUGUGUUCACCUGUCUCUCCAAAAUCUGGAGCCUGUGGCUAUAGGAGGCAAUGGAUUCUUACAGGGCAGUUGUAUUGGGGGCCCCCAAGAGCACCCAGGUCAAUGAUUCACUAGGAAGAUGCCCUAGGAGGACUCACGCCGUUCCCCAGCACCACGCUGUGUCGACACAUGUGAAAUCUCCCCACGAGGGGAGCCCUUCGGAACCUCAGUGCCCAGGGCUGGUCGUGCAGCCCCCUCUGCCUGGUGCGUGUGCAGAUCUCCGACCCCCAGGAGGAAGCAGGUGCUCAGCAUAACCGAUUGUUUGCACAUAGGGCUUAGGGGCAGUGGCCCCUCUGAAAUCUGGGUGCUGAGGCGAGCACCCAGGCCUGCCUGUCGCCCUUCCCUGCCCAGCACAGAAGCUCUCUGCUUCCUUAUCUGCCCCCUGAGCUGGGAAUUUAAGCUCUGAGCUCAUCAUUUUCUUUUCCCAGAUUCGACAGCACACUUUUCCAGCCACCAACCAAGCCCACGGUCCUUAUUUCCACGGUGGCAUCAGCUGCUUGGUCACCCAGAGUCCUGCCCCCUAUCGGUCUGUUUUGCACUGGGUGGGCCGCAGUUCCGUGGGAAAUGGAGCCACUGAAGUCUUCGAUCCACUCAAGUCAGAGAUCCAAUUCCAGAUUCCACCCUGAGCAUUCCCAUCCCUGGGCCCCUCUCCCAGCACCAAUACUGUGUCCAGCCGGGUUACGGGGAGUGUGGCCAGACACGGAGUGAGCUUGCUACAGGAAUGGACCUUCCACGACUGUGGGCGGCGCCGAGGAAGGGAGGGUCUGGGAGGGCGAGCCAGGAAACAGUCUGGGAGGCUCUGUCUGAAAAUGCACAGCCCAGCAUCGGCGGUGGGCCCAGGACCUCCGUGUCCAGCAGGGAAGGUGGGAGCCAGAUGCAGAGGGCAGGACGUGAGGGUGAGCCGGGCCCUGCUGCAGCCUCUGACCGUGAUGGGGCUGCCAGAGAGCCCAUCAUCCUUCUGUUAAUAACCACAUGUCUGAAGAUGAUGUGAAAAUAUGCCUACGACGUUAGGAAAGAUGAUAUGAUAGCAUGUACCGUAUCUUUAUAAUGACUGAAUAAAAGACUAUAUGUGGAAAAAGUC